UGGAAGCGGCCGCCGGCACCACCCUAUGGCGCCGCUCACCGUCGCGUAGACUCACUGCUCACUAGACUCGUACACGCGCCGAGCGCUUCCAAGUGCCGUUCUGUCUUGCCUGCCUCUUCCCGGCACUUCGCAGCGUCUGCUCAGAAGCGAGGAAGCGGGCGUGAGCUCAGCGCGGGUUUCCGAAGAGGCGAGCGUGGCGAGGACUGCGGGCUGGGCGGCGAAGGCGAGCCCAGAGUUCCCCAGGUGUUUGAGACUGGACGCCCCACAAUCCGUUCCCACUGACCAUGCUAGCUGGGGAUGAUGGAUGUUCUGCACAUCUGGAGAGCACCAGGCGUACUUCCGAGCUCAGAAUCGCGCUGUUCAGGGCAAGCUUAAACUGCGAAGAGAUAGAUCUUUCCCACUGCGUUGCCUCCUGCACCGCUCACAUUCCCUCUGGGAGGCACAUAUCCGAUCAAUCGUCCCUCCGGUUCUCAAAAGCUUUUGCUGCAAUGAAUGAAUGAGCGUGCCAUCCUAUGCGAGCGUGGGCACUUCCUACAACUCCCAGCAAUCUCGUGCGAUCUGGAAAUCCUGGGAAUUGUUUUACUUUUUUGCGAUUUAAACAUUCUUCGAUUUUAACGUGUCGCAAGACUCUUGCUUUUCUCUCUCUCUCUCUUUUGCCCGUAUUGGAAAAAUAAAACAAAUCCAUGCAAUGAGCAUAACUGUGACCGGAUGGCGGCAUGUAUAGAGAAUCAGAAGGUCGCACCUGCAGACGAUUGCCAUGGAGACCCCGUCAUGUCAAAGUCCACCUGCCGAAGUUGGCGCUGGCAAAGGCGCUGCAGGGCUUCGAGGGAGGGCGGGGCUGAGAGUCGGCCCUUCGGAAACGAGGAGUCGGUUGGGUUUGCAAACUGGAUCGGGUCCAGCGGUCAUCCCACCAACCUGCUGAAGCGCAUCCAUGGAGUCCUCUCCCUCAGUGGUCGUCCUCGGCACCCAUUCUAGCAGGACGGAGAUCAGAGGGGUUUGCAAGGCCAUUCCACUGAAAUCUCUCCCCCCACCCUUCCUGUUUCUUUUUCCUUGUGUGUAAUGUCUUUUGGAAGCCUGCAGGCAGGAAUUGUUUUCUGUUACUGAUAAUUUCUUAUCUGCUGAGGGAGACUUCUAGGAUGAAGAACAGCAUAAAAAUACUGUAAAUAAAGGAUUCGUUUUAAGCA